CCUGCUUCUUGAUUCCUGAUCAUGCACUUGUUAGGCGGCUUCCUGUUUCCACUAAAUAUACUUUUACCCGCACGUCGUCUGCCCUCUCUGCAUCCUAGGGAAGAGCAACACCAUGACAAUUGCUUUCUCCGAGUUUCUCCUGUGAACCCCUGUUCCUUUCUGGAUUCUGGACUCCUUGCCUUCAUCCUCGACCUCCGCUUGGACGCAGACCUCUGACGCCUUGGCAUUCUCCCUGACCACGAACUGCCUUCCUGCCUUGUUCCUAGUCCUCGUUCAACAUUUGUCAGAGUCGUGGGAGACAAAAGUGGACCCUGGAAAAGCACAUCCCAGAGCAGCCGGAGGCGGCAAGCUGAACCAUGGGUGGAGGACCGAGCCUAAGCAGUGCCGGUUGCCAUGGCGAUUUCAACACCUCCAGGACUGAUGGUCGAGCGGUCGUCCAAAACCUUGAGGGGUUCCUGGUCCGAAUUCCAGUUCCUGCCGUUGUGUCCUUGGGCAAGGCACCUUGCUCCCAGUGCCACCCAUACUGGUGUGUGUGGCAAGACUACCUUGCUAAACAGAUUGCUCAUCUCUAUGGCACUAACAUCAAAUAAGUAAUUGUGAAAUAAAAUUAAAUAAAUAAAGAAAUGAUAAUAACCUUUUCAAA